rnacentral:rRNA from 1 species
GAUGAACGCUGGCGGCGUGCCUAAUACAUGCAAGUCGCGCGAACAGACGAGGAGCUUGCCCCUCUGACGUUAGCGGCGGACGGGUGAGUAACACGUGGAUAACCUUCCUAUAAGACUGGGAUCACUUCGGGAAACCGCAGCUAAUACCGGAUAACAUGUUGAACCGCAUGGUUCAACAGUGCAAGACGGUCUUGCUGUCACUUAUAGAUGGAUCCGCGCCGCAUUAGCUAGUUGGUAAGGUAACGGCCUACCAACGCAACGAUGCGUAGCCGACCUGAGAUCGUGAUCGGCCCCACUGGCACUGAGACACGGUCCACACUCCUACGGGUGGCAGCCGUGCUGACUAUUACGCAAUGGGCGGAAGCGUAAUGGGUCAGUGCCUCGGGAGGGGCAGAGGUCGUCGGAUCGUAAAACGAGGUUUUUAGUGAAGAACACAUCUGUACGUAACUACGCACGUUUUGACGGCCCCUACUUAGAAAGUCCCCGCUCACUCCGUG